rnacentral:tRNA from 1 species
GUCCUUGUAGCUCAACUGGAUAGAGCGGCAGCGUCCUAAGCUGAGGAUGGGGGUUCAAGUCCCUCCUGGGACA